rnacentral:rRNA from 1 species
AUUGAACGCUGGCGGCAGGCCUAACACAUGCAAGUCGAACGAGUGGCGGACGGGUGAGUAAUGUCUGGGAAACUGCCUGAUGGAGGGGGAUAACGACUGGAAACGGUAGCUAAUACCGCAUAUAAUCAGAGGUGCCCAGGUGGGAUUCGCUUGUUGGUGGGGUAAACGCGUACCAAGGCGACGCGCCCUAACUGGUCUGAGAGGAUGACCAGCCACACUGGAACUUAUACACGGUCCAGACUCCUACGUGAGGCAGCAGUGGGGAAUAUUGGACAAUGGGCGAAAGCCUGAUGCAGCCAUGCCGCGUGUGUGAAGAAGGCCUUCGGGUUGUAAAGUACUUUCAGCGGGGAGGCGUUACCAACAGAAGAAGCACCGGCUAACUCCGUGCCAGCAGCCGCGGUAAUUC